CUUAUGUGGAGGGACCACUUUGUACCUUAAUGAAGCCUGAUUGACCUCAGAGCCUUAGGUAUGAUAUCUCAGAUGAGCACAACAGGAAGAAAAGAAGAUAAAUGAUCAGCUUACACAAGAAGUGAUGAAUUCUUGAUGGCUGGCUGGCAUGCCACUGCAUGACUCCUCCCCACAGAAUACUCUGAGGACCUUAGAAAACGUCCUAGACACAGAAAAAAUGAAUUGUUGUAAAACUUACUGGCCCACAAGCCUACCUCAGCCUCCAGGAGAGGGCUUUCCCCUAGUGGAGCCCCUGACUUCCACUCAUCUGCUGCUUGGCUAUGGCCUAGAGCAACUACUUCUCAGAGUUUGACUCUCAGGUUAGUUUGGAGUGGGCCUGAAAGAGAAAAACUUAUGUUUUUGUUUUUUA